UACGGGGGGAGCAAGCGUUGUUCGGAUUUACUGGGCGUAAAGGGCGCGUAGGCGGCCAGCACAAGUCAGUUGUGAAAUCUCCGAGCUUAACUCGGAAAGGUCAACUGAUACUGUGCGGCUAGAGUGCGGAAGGGGCAACUGGAAUUCUUGGUGUAGCGGUGAAAUGCGUAGAUAUCUGGAGGAACACCGGUGGCGAAGGCGGCAUCCUGGACCGACACUGACGCUGAGGAGCGAAAGCCAGGGGAGCAAACGGG
rnacentral:rRNA from 1 species